GGCAAGUCACCUCCCCUCUUGGAGCCUCAGGGGAUAAGCCUCCCUGAGGCUACAGAAGCAAAGCCCAGAGAUGGGAGUCGGGGAGACAGAGCCUCCUCAUGAUGUCACGAUGUCACCUGAGCUCCUGGGUCCAGCUUGUUUCAUGAGCUGAGACUAAUGAUUGUAACUGUUCGGGCACGGUGAGGCAAGAGGAACGUACAGUUACAGAAUCCGUGGGCAAAGCAUCUCGGGGCCAGGAGCGAGCCUGAAGGCACUGUGUAGGCCUUGAUCAGUUUAGCAAUUUCUACGAUUCUGACAUCCUCUUUCUGUUCUUUCCGGACUCAGGCAUCCAAGGUCACCUCAUUAUGGCUCUGUGCGAAGACAGCACCCCAAAGGGGCCAUCGAUUUGGAACAUCUGAUCGGCUUUCUGAGUCAGAUCCACUAGCUCGUAAAAUCCAAUAAAUGUCAAAGAUAUGUCAGGCCCAUUAACCUCUGGAGGUCUAUUAAAAGACUCUGCUUCUGCUAAGGAGAUUCUGUUACUGUCACAUGGACACCAGGGCAGCCAAUUCUAAACCCCUGAAUUUAGAAAGUUAGGAAGGGGAUAUGAUUUCACAUGGGAUCGCCUGGUCUCUACUAGUUUUGUCAUAAGACUCUGCCUUUUCUUCCACUCAUACACACAGAGCAUCUGUUGGUGUGACCAGCUCUGUGAUAGGUAUGUGGGGGAAACAUUCUAGAACUUCUUUUCCUGCAUCCAAGAAAAUUAACCCAAAUGCUUUCUUCAUAAAACUGCACGCACAUUUCUUCCUUACAGUCCUUACAACAUUGAAGCAUUAUUGUUUGCUUGCACGUGAGUCCCCUCUACUAGAUUAUGAGUUCCUUAAGAGCUGGGGGUCAUGAUUCCUUUUGGUAAGAAGCAAGGGAAACCUUAACCUAAAUUACUCCAGGAAAAAACAAACCUGCUUGACACAUAGAACCAAAAAGUCCAAAGGCAAAGUCCAGGAACAGUUGGAUUCAGAGGCCCCAAAGGUGUUCUCAGGAGUCUCACCUCCAUCUUGUGGCUCUGCAUUCCUCUGCGUUGGUUUCAUCUGCAGGCAAGCCCUCCCCAGCCAUGGCAAGAUGGGCUCUGGUAGAUCCCACAUGAUGGCAAGCCUGCCUUCAGCAGCUCCAGGCAUCCUGCUGCCAGCCUAACACCCCUGUGAGAAAGAACUUUUAUUUCCCAAUAGGGCCAGUGGAUCUCCCAAGCUAAUUCUUGCUGGCCCAGCGUGGGUCCAGGUGCUAGUUCCAGGGCAUUCCUUUUGCAAAACAAUUACCAUGUUGUGUUGUAAUUCCUGCUUUACUUGCCAGUUUCCCACCC
rnacentral:lncRNA from 10 species